rnacentral:rRNA from 1 species
GAUGAACGCUGGCGGCGUGCCUAAUACAUGCAAGUAGAACGCUGAAGGAAGGAGCUUGCUCUUUCCGGAUGAGUUGCGAACGGGUGAGUAACGCGUAGGUAACCUGCCUGGUAGCGGGGGAUAACUAUUGGAAACGAUAGCUAAUACCGCAUAACAGUAGAUGUUGCAUGAUAUCUACUUAAAAGGUGCAAUUGCACCACUACCAGAUGGACCUGCGUUGUAUUAGCUAGUUGGUGAGGUAACGGCUCACCAAGGCGGCGAUACAUAGCCGACCUGAGAGGGUGGUCCGCCACACUGGGACUGAGACCCGGCCCAGACUCCUACGGGAGGCAGCAGUAGGGAAUCUUCGGCAAUGGACGGAAGUCUGACCGAGCAACGCCGCGUGAGUGAAGAAGGUUUUCGGAUCGUAAAGCUCUGUUGUAAGGGAAGAACGAGGGUGAGAGUGAAAAGUUCACACUGUGACGGUAUCUUACCAGAAAGGGACGGCUAACUACGUG